CCUGGGUGGGCGCGCUGCACCCUGGGAUGUGUGGUCGUCCGAGGGUCACAGGCGGUGACUAGGAUCCCGCUUCCAGCGGCGUCUUGCAGCCAGUCCUACCUCCGGGGCUGUAGGCUGACGAGUCCUGGGGAACCUGUCAGCUGUUUAUCCCUCUUCCUGCGCUUGACGCUUCCCGGAGGGGUGGCCGAAUGAGGCUCACACGUCCCCAGCUCGGUACUACCCGCUUUCGGAAGUAGUGUUGGGGUAGCCUCUGCCCCGAGAGAAAGUACAAAACAGUAACAGCAAAAGUGAGUUGACCUUUGAUGCCACGUGCUGAGUUUUGCUUGCGUUCUCUCAUGCACUCUUCUCAACUCUCACAAAUAUAAAGCACAGAGUCUGUGGGGGGAGAAAAUCUUUCUGAUAAGAGAACUGUGCUGUUCAAUAUGGUAGCCACUAGCCACAUGUGGCUAUUGAGCACCUGAAAUAUGGUUACUUCAUAAAUAAUGAGCCUGAACCAGUCUGCUGAAGGAUGAGAGACCACAUGGAGUAGAGCCCAGAUGUCCCAAACCCCACUGGGCAAGAUUGACAUACAGCCAGCCUCCAAACAUGUUGAGAGGGCCAUCCAAGAUCGGAAGAACUAUCUACUGAUUCCUGGCUUGUAGUCUUCUGAGCAAUAAUAAAUGAUCCCUAUUUUAAGCCAC